ACUCCUACGGGAGGCAGCAGUGGGGAAUAUUGCACAAUGGGGGAAACCCUGAUGCAGCCAUGCCGCGUGUGUGAAGAAGGCCUUCGGUUGUAAAGCACUUUCUAGUAGGGAGGAAGGUAGUGUAGUUAACACCUGCACUAUUUGACGUUACCUACAGAAGAAGCACCGGCUAACUCCGUGCCAGCAGCCGCGGUAAGUACGGAGGGUGCGAGCGUUAAUCGGAAUUACUGGGCGUAAAGCGCAUGCAGGCGGCCUGUUAAGUCAGAUGUGAAAGCCCGGGGCUUAACCUCGGAAUUGCAUUUGAAACUGGCAGGCUAGAGUCUUGUAGAGGGGUUAGAAUUUCAGGUGUAGCGGUGAAAUGCGUAGAGAUCUGAAGGAAUACCAGUGGCGAAGGCGGCCCCUGGACAAAGACUGACGCUCAGAUGCG
rnacentral:rRNA from 1 species